GUCACGGCUGUAUUGGCUGAUCUGUUGGACCAAUCACCUGAGGGUUCUCCCCAGGGUUCUCUGGGAGAUGUAGUUCAGGAUCCCAGGCGGUCAGUGUUUAGUUAGAGCCCAGAGGAGGCUUUGCUCAUCUCCAAGCCCCAUAUCCAGAAGUGCGGCCAGAGUGACCUCUCCAAGUUUAGGUCGUAGUGCGAAGUUGACGAUGGUUUUCAACGUGUUUUGGUGUCAAGAGACAGGAACGUGGAGUCAGAAGACGAAGUACCAGUCACGUUUUGCUACUGACUGGCACUGGGCAAAAUAAUUAAUCUGAGGCAACACCACUCUACACUCUCUAAGCAUGAAAUGAUAGGUUUUGCUAUUUUAUAAGGUUGUAGUAGGGAGAAAAUGAGAUAGUGUGAACGCGCUGUGAAAUCUUAAAGUACGUAUAGGCAUGUUAAUUGUCACUUAUUGACAGUGAAAUUUUAUUGAGCACUUAUUAUGUAUCAUGCAUGGGGCAUGCAAAGAAAUGCUUCCAUCUUGGAGAGAUGGAGAAGGAACUCGCAACCUACUUAAAACUAAAUUGAGCAGGAAAAAAAGAAAACCACGUAUGGAUACAAAAGAGCUGCAGUAUUCUAAAGGUGUUGGGGGGAAGCUUCAAGGAACUGAGUCUUGAAGAGUAAGAAGUGUGUGCCAGAUCAAUGCACCGGACUACCACAAAAGCAGAAGGAAAUCUGUCACUGCAGACCUUAUCAGAAGCCAGGAUCCGGAAGGAGGCAAUGACCUGCUCAGCCGUGUCCGUGUCCGCCGUCUCUCUAGUCAUGAAGUCGAUGAAGGACUGGAAGGUGACGGUGCCCUGUCCAUUGGGAUCCACCAGGGUCAUGAUGCGGGCAAAUUCAGCUUCGCCC